UCCAGCCCCUGAGCGCCGUGGGCAACAAAGUCGGCGAGCUCGUAGAGUCCACCAAGGGCGUGCUGGAGAGUGUGGUGCCAGCUGGCACCACGGAUGGGCUCUUAGGCGGGCUGGGAAAUAUUGAUCUGAACGAUCUCCUGAUAGGAUUAGAGGUUCAAAAAGCAACUGUGCAGAACAUGAAGUUGACCAUGACCGGUGAUGGGAUCCUCAUCCAAGCCACGACUACCGCCUUCGUAGCUGGAAAAGGCCUGCUAGGAGCUGUACUCAGCAUACUGGGAUUUCAAGUGAAUUCGGAUGUGACUCUGAAAAUUGGAAUUUCCACAAACAACGCCCAAUGCGUCAACCUCCAAGUCCAGGACAAGGACAUCAGGGUCAAGGAAGUGA